CAUGUGGCAGAACAUUGUGAGCGUGCAUUUUCCUCAGCCCAGCAGAAGAAGAUGAUUUUGGAGGGGACAAAGAGCUACAUAUGUGAAGCAGUUGUGGCAAUAGUCGACCAUUUAGGAACUGUCUCAUCCAAACUCGAGCAGAGUCUCCUCGCAAAUGCUGUGGUUAAGCAGACUGAACAAAGAAUUGGUUGCUUGAAGCAGAGAAUCCUUGCUUGCCAACAAUAU